UGAUUAGAAGUGAUAAUAAUAAGUUAGUGAUUAGAAGUUAAAAACUCAAGUAUAUGCGAUUUAAGGAAAAACGGCUCGGACCGACGGGUGUCGCGCGCUACCGAUUGAACACACCACUUGAUCCCUACUUUAUUACCUUAAUUUUCUUAUUUUAUAACAGCUAAUUAACCAUCAAAAUAUCUCAUACAUCAGCCACAAUUGUUGACUUAAAAUACCAAGAGAGAGAAGGGAAAAAUGAAUGGAAUUAGCGGCGACAAGUGGCGGUAUUUCAUUGGAUGGUUGACUAACUAAGUUACACCAUAUUUAUCACCAAAAACCAACCUAUUUCCUCCAUUAUUUCUGCAUAUCAGCCGUGAGUUGAGGGAGGAAAAACAAGAGAAAAGGAAACUUCAAUCAAUCUUGGUUAGAGCUUGAAUGAGUGAAAACACGAAAUACUAAACCGAUUAAUCAUUAGUUUGGAAGCUUGGGAAGCUUAAGGAGCUAAAUUUUGCCAAGGGAAGUGAAGGAUCACUCUUGCAAGGCUUUGUCUUAAGGUAUAUUGGCUGAUCACCCUUUUCUUCUCCAUUAAUCAUAAUCAAGUUGGUUGUUAAGCUUAGAAUUGAGCGAGUGAUGCCUAUUUUCAAGUGGUUGUGAUGAUUAGAGGAUUGUAUUUUGAGCUAGGAUUUUGAUUUAGUUGCUUAUAAUUCUUGUGGGUUAGGUGUUAUAUGAUGUAUAUAUAUAGUAUAUGAUCUUGUAAAGGUGAUGGUAGU
rnacentral:lncRNA from 1 species